rnacentral:rRNA from 1 species
CCUACGGGAGGCAGCAGUGGGGAAUCUUGCGCAAUGGGGGAAACCCUGACGCAGCAACGCCGCGUGGGUGAUGAAGGCCUUCGGGUCGUAAAGCCCUGUCAGGUGGGAAGAAACUUGUGGAUGUUAAUACCAUCCGCACUUGACGGUACCACCGGAGGAAGCACCGGCUAACUCCGUGCCAGCAGCCGCGGUAAUACGGAGGGUGCAAGCGUUGUUCGGAAUUAUUGGGCGUAAAGCGCGUGUAGGUGGUCAGGUAAGUCAGAUGUGAAAGCCUUCUGCUUAACAGAAGAAGUGCAUUUGAAACUGCUUGGCUAGAGUACGGGAGAGGAGAGUGGAAUUCCCGGUGUAGAGGUGAAAUUCGUAGAUAUCGGGAGGAACACCAGUGGCGAAGGCGGCUCUCUGGUCCGAUACUGACGCUGAGACGCGAAAGCGUGGGGAGCAAACAGGAUUAGAUACCCUGGUAGUCCACGCCGUAAACGAUGGGCACUAGGUGUAGGAGGUAUUGACCCCUUCUGUGCCGAAGCUAACGCAUUAAGUGCCCCGCCUGGGGAGUACGGCCGCAAGGCUAAAACUUAAAGGAAUUGACGG